rnacentral:rRNA from 1 species
CCUACGGGAGGCUGCAGUGGGGAAUAUUGGACAAUGGGGGCAACCCUGAUCCAGCCAUGCCGCGUGUGUGAAGAAGGCCCUCGGGUUGUAAAGCACUUUCAGUGAGGAAGAACGCCUGGUGGUUAAUACCCAUCAGGAAAGACAUCACUCACAGAAGAAGCACCGGCUAACUCCGUGCCAGCAGCCGCGGUAAUACGGAGGGUGCGAGCGUUAAUCGGAAUUACUGGGCGUAAAGCGCGCGUAGGUGGCUUGAUAAGCCGGUUGUGAAAGCCCCGGGCUCAACCUGGGAACGGCAUCCGGAACUGUCAAGCUAGAGUGCAGGAGAGGAAGGUAGAAUUCCCGGUGUAGCGGUGAAAUGCGUAGAGAUCGGGAGGAAUACCAGUGGCGAAGGCGGCCUUCUGGACUGACACUGACACUGAGGUGCGAAAGCGUGGGUAGCAAACAGGAUUAGAUACCCCGGGAGUC